CGAGCCACUGCCUGUUCACCCCGCUAUCAUCCAGAAGGCGAGAGCCUUUCCAUAUGUCCACUCAAGUUUCUUCAACUGUCUCCUGACUGUGAAUAGAGCAAUGGUGAUGUUGUGGGGUGAUGCCAGCAGAUUCCAGAUUGCUUUUGCCGAUCGCUCAUCAUCUUCAACCGUCAGUGAGUCGAUGGCUUGAACAGUCUCGCUGGAAAUGGAAUACAAAGUAAAAAUGUGCAGCAUACAGUAAAGACCAGCAGUCGAUUUAUUUAAGCAUUAUUUAUAGCAUUAUUAUGCCUACUUUACAGGAUUGUAGCCUACUGUACCUGUUCCUUUUCCUGGGCUUUCGGGUAACACAGGCACCUGAUGAUAGUGUUUUCGAAUAGCACUGACCGUGACCAUAAUCUCCAGAUCUAACAGUAUUUUGCUGACAUGUUUAAUUAUUCAAGGCUCCUUUCUCUUCUCUGUUUGGGAGUUCUGUUAAGAAUACAAAAGAAGAGACCCUUGAUGGGCUAUCAUCCGGACAAUAGACUCUUACCGAGAGUAGGGACUUUAAAUGUAUUAAUGGAUGUUUGUAAGGCAUGUCACUUCUCCCAUCUCUUUUGCAUAGCCUACCAAAUGCAUUGUUUUCUAACCACAUCUGGUGGAUUCAUAACAAAUUACUAUGGGAAUAAAUAUCACUGAAUGACAGAAAUAUUGGAUUAAAUUAGGCGAAUGAAGGCAACAAAUUGUUGCUUACUGGAACACCCAAAGUAAUCCAAUUGUUAUAACAGGAUUUGGAGCAACUGUUUCAGCACCGUUUCGCACUGCUCUGAGACAAGCAUGGGGACUGGACUUGAUAAACAAUGAGAUUUUUAUUUUCACUGAAUAUCUGUCUGGGUAUUGGUUAGCUAACAAUUAGGGUGUGGAAAUUUUAGGAUUAUUUUGCUCUUCACUCGCUGUCACUUAGUAGCCUCGGCCUACUCCCGACCGGUCACUUGUACAGUGCCAAAAAACACAGCGGAAAUAUCACAUUUACAUAAGUAGUCAGAACCUUCACUCAGAACUUUGUUUAUUAAAGCACCUUUGGCAGCGAU